rnacentral:rRNA from 1 species
UACGAAGGGGGCUAGCGUUGUUCGGAAUCACUGGGCGUAAAGGGCGCGUGGGCGGCCGAUCAAGUCGGGGGUGAAAGCCUGUGGCUUAACCACAGAAUGGCCUUCGAUACUGUUUGGCUUGAGACCGGAAGAGGUUAGUGGAACUGCGAGUGUAGAGGUGAAAUUCGUAGAUAUUCGCAAGAACACCAGUGGCGAAGGCGGCUGACUGGUCCGGUUCUGACGCUGAGGCGCGAAAGCGUGGGGAGCAAACAGG